AAGCUCGUAGUUGAAUUUCGGGAUCAAAUUGUCGGUCGUGCCUCGGUACGUACUGGCGUUAUUGGUGCCUCCCUUCUGAAGAACCGCGAUGUCAUUAAUUUGGUGUCGCGGGGAAUCAGGACUGUUACUUUGAAAAAAAUUAGAGUGUUUAAAGCAGGCUCGCGCUUGAAUACAUUAGCAUGGAAUAAUGAAAUAGGACGUUUGAUUCUAUUUUGUUGGUUUCUAGGAUCGACGUAAUGAUUAAUAGGGAUAGUUGGGGGCAUUAGUAUUCAAUUGUCAGAGGUGAAAUUCUUGGAUUUAUUGAAGACUAGCUACUGCGAAAGCAUUUGCCAAGGAUGUUUUCAUUAAUCAAGAACGAAAGUUAGGGGAUCGAAGACGAUCAGAUACCGUCGUAGUCUUAACCAUAAACUAUGCCGACUAGGGAUCGGGUGAUGUUAAUUUUUUAAUGACUCAUUCGGCGCCUUACGGGAAACCAAAGUGUUUGGGUUCCGGGGGAGUAUGGUCGCAAGGCUGAAACUUAAAGGAAUUGACGGAAGGGCACCACCAGGGGUGGAGCCUGCGGCUUAAUUUGACUCAACACGGGGAAACUCACCAGGUCCAGACAUAGUAGGAUUGACAGAUUGAGAGCUCUUUCUUGAUUCUAUGGGUG
rnacentral:rRNA from 1 species